GCGCUCUUAGUUCAGUUUGGCAGAACGUAGGUCUCCAAAACCUGAUGUCGUAGGUUCAAAUCCUACAGAGCGCG
rnacentral:tRNA from 1 species